rnacentral:rRNA from 1 species
GAUGAACGCUGGCGGCGCGCUUAAGACAUGCAAGUCGAACGGAACUUAGCUGAAUGUUUACAUGAGGCGAAAGUUUAGUGGCGGACGGGUGAGUAACACGUGAGCAACCUGCCUUAGAGAGUGGGACAACAGAGAGAAAUUUCUGCUAAUACCGCAUAUGACCACAGUACCGCAUGGUACAGGGGUGAAAGGAGCAAUCCGCUCUAAGAUGGGCUCGCGGCUGAUUAGCUAGUUGGUGAGGUAACGGCCCACCAAGGCGACGAUCAGUAGCCGAACUGAGAGGUUGAUCGGCCACAUUGGGACUGAGACACGGCCCAGACUCCUACGGGAGGCAGCAGUCGGGAAUAUUGCACAAUGGGGGAAACCCUGAUGCAGCGACGCCGCGUAAAGGAAGAAGGUCUUCGGAUUGUAAACUUUGUCGACAGGGAAGAAGAAAGUGACAGUACCUGUGGA